CAAAUCUCCCGAACACUACGUCGAUUUGAGAACGCAAGACCGAGCCCAAGACCGAGACCAAAGUCAGCCGAGACCAAGACGAGCCCAAGACCACGUAAAAGUGGUCUCGAGACAUCCAACUCUACUUACAGGUGGAACAACCAGCAGGAAAACUCAGUUAAAUAGAACUGAAUGUGUUAACUGACCUAUUGAAAGGCGUUCUGGCUUCAGACAGGUCAGACUAUGGAGGUGACGAUAAUCUGGGAGAGAGCAGUAAACUGACAAACCAAUCAAAAUGCGAAACAAAGGAGAACAAGCAAGGAGAGCUGGCACACAACUCCACCUUUGAGUAGAGAAAGAGUGAGUGAGCUUGUGCAUUCACCCACUCUCUCUUUUCAAGGAGGAGCAACCCUGAGGCCUGCCAGGACCAUGACAGCAUGAAGGUCUGUCUCACCUGAUCUGAAAUUCAAAUUGACCUGAUGAUGCCAAGUCCCUGUGCUGAGUUUCUUCUUCUGGAGUUUAAGUUUAGGUUUUCUUGCAUCAGGGCACAUUAUCCUGCUGAAAGAGGCCACAGUCAGCAAAGCAUAACGAAAGGGUUAAGGCUCAUGUAUUAUCCACAUGGAUAGCAGGACCAGAAAAAGCUUUACACUGCUUCCACCGACUUGCCUUCUUCCCGUAGCACAUCCUGGUUCCAGGAGUUCCCCAGAUCGUGCUAAGACGGAGACCGGUUCUCUAUGUGGUGAACCUGCUAAUCCCCAGCUGCUUCCUCAUCACAGUGGACCUCUUCAGCUUCAUGCUGCCCCCACAGAGCGUGGACAGAUCCUCCUUCAAGAUGACCCUCAUCCUGGGCUACACCGUCUUCCUGCUCAUCAUGAACGACCUGCUGCCUAUCACUGGGGAGACAACACCCUUCAUCAUUCUCGUACCGGAGAUGCACAAGCAGGAGAUAAAGUGUCCAUGGGUGCAAUCCAAAUAUUUCCUAAACAAGAUCAUAACUAAGACUGAGAACCAGAACAUGCGCACACAUGUACACAUGUUCUGAACACUGCCUGUUUUUGUUGCUGUUUCCUGCAGAUGUUUUCUUCUCCAUCAGUCUGGCGCUGAUGGUGGCCAGACUGUUGGAGACACUGUUCAUCACAAACAUUCAGUUCAAGUCUAGUGAGUACAGUGCAGUGCCUCACUGGCUCAGCAUCCUUGUGUUGUGUAUCAUUAGAAAAUCAGACUUUUUGAUCUGAUUUUUCUGUUAGAUGAGGUCUGAAAGGUCAUGCUCAGUUUAUCAGUUUAUCAUAGCACUUCACUGGCUGUUUAUUUUUGACAGCACUAUCAGUGAACACCAGUGCCACAAACCUCUCAGACAAUCAGAGCAUCUACAGUGUUACACUUCCAGUAAAACCAGCUCCAGCUUCCGAGCCAGUUUUGGAUGAACUGAGGAGAUUAAUCAGAGAUCUCACAGCCAUCCGAUUUCAGAUGGACAAAUACUUUCAAGGGACCAAAGCUGCACAGGAGUGGGAGAUGAUUGGAACAGUGAUCGAUCGUCUGCUGUUUGGCUUGUACAUCGUCUUUAUUGUCGCUUCAUUACAAUAAUGAGCAUCUGGAUAUGGAAUAAUUCGUUUGCAACAUAAUUAGGUGACAGAUGGAUGAAAAAACAACAUAACUGUCAUGGUAAUUGGCAUGGAUCACAAAUAAAUACAGUGCUAUGAAAAUGUAUUUGGCCCCUUCCAGAUUUUUUAUUUUUUGUGUGAAAUGGCCCCUCCCUCCCAUGCUCACCCACACUAUUCAGUUCAAUUCAAUUUUAUUUAUACA